rnacentral:rRNA from 1 species
CAGCCGCCGCGGGAAUACGGAGGGGGCUAGCGUUGUUCGGAAUUAUUGGGCGUAAAGGGCGCGUAGGCGGUUUGGCAAGUUUGGUGUGAAAUCUUCGGGCUCAACUCGAAGUCUGCAUCGAAAACUGCCGGGCUUGAGUAUGGGAGAGGUGAGUGGAAUUUCCGGUGUAGCGGUGAAAUGCGUAGAUAUCGGAAGGAACACCUGUGGCGAAAGCGGCUCACUGGACAAUAACUGACGCUGAUGCACGAAAGCUAGGGGAGCAAACAGGAUUAGAUACCCGUGUAGUCCCUGUCUCUUAUAC